AGAAUCCACGAUGAGGAUACAUAAGCUCCCUCUUCUGAUAUUUCAAGUUGAGGAAGAUUGCUGGCAGAAUCGAACCUUAUACUCCAUAGCCACCACUGAGUGG